AGCGAACGCUGGCGGCAGGCCUAACACAUGCAAGUCGAACGCCCCUUCGGGGGAGUGGCGGACGGGUGAGUAACGCGUGGGAACGUGCCCUUUGGUACGGAACAACUGAGGGAAACUUCAGCUAAUACCGUAUGAGCCCCCAUUCUUAGCGGGAUGGGUGGGAAAGAUUUAUCGCCGAAGGAGCGGCCCGCGUUGGAUUAGCUAGUUGGUGGGGUAAAGGCCCACCAAGGCUACGAUCCAUAGCUGGUCUGAGAGGAUGAUCAGCCACACUGGGACUGAGACACGGCCCAGACUCCUACGGGAGGGAGCAGUGGGGAAUCUUGCGCAAUGGGCGAAAGCCUGACGCAGCCAUGCCGCGUGAAUGAUGAAGGUCUUAGGAUUGUAAAAUUCUUUCACCGGGGAAGAUAAUGACGGUACCCGGAGAAGAAGCCCCGGCUAACUUCGUGCCAGCAGCCGCGGUAAUAC
rnacentral:rRNA from 1 species